rnacentral:lncRNA from 1 species
ACACACCUCUCUUAUUUCAUUCUUCAUGGUCGGCUAAGACAAGAACAAAGAGAAAAAAGAAGAGAACAAACCCUAGUGAGCAAACAUUCAAGGGAAAAUUGGUGGAUUUCAAGGAAUUAAGCAAGUAAAGGUAAAAUUUUUGGAUUUUAGCUUGUGAUCUACCUUUCCUAUGCAUUCUUUUUCAUUUUCCAUGGUUGAGAAUCAAGUUUUCAUGAAGAUACCUUUGCUGGCCGGACAUGGGGGGAGGGGUUUUGAUCUUGGAUUUAGCUAGAUUUCAUGUUAUUCUAGUGUUUUUAGUUGUUUGGUGAUGUUUAGUAUGGAAAACAAGCAAGAAAUUUCAUGCCCUUCACCCACACCCAUUGGCUGAAUUUUUCAAGAGAGAAAUUGGAAAAUGGACUUUGAUGAAUUUCAUGCUAUUUAGGUAUUUUUAGUUGUUUUAUGAUGUAAAGUGUAAAAAUCAAGUAUGAAAAACCACAUAUUAUUCAUGAACCCUCCAUGGUCGAAUUUUUCCAAGAGAAAAUGUUGAGGAUGAUUUUGCUAUAAGUCAUGUUAUCUAACUUAUAUUUGAUGAUUUGGAGUAUUGGAAGUGAAAUGAAUUUAUUUGGAGUUGAAUUGGAUAUUUUGGCCAAUUAACCGACGUAUAGUGUGAAUUAGGUCAAUACCAUUUCAGCCCCAUACACAAUUGAACCUACGUAGAACACCGUAUUUAGAUAAUAAUCCGAACAUUUCACAUCCUAUUUCAUGCAUUCAUAUAGAGCCUAAAUUAGUUUUAUAACGGUUUAGCACAAAUAUAGUAAAUUGCUUGUUGUGCUUUAUGUCUAGGUGGUGAAACUUUCGAUAAGGGUAAGGAAAUUGUACCCGAAGACCGAGAUUAGGAGUACCUCGAUUCUCGAUAUUGUGAGAAACCUUAUUAUCGUCUUAAUUAUCUAAAGUAGUUUUUAUUCGUUUUUGUGAUUUUAAAGAAAAAUGAGUUUUAAUGGUAAAUCCUNUAGUUUUUAUUCGUUUUUGUGAUUUUAUAGAAAAAUGAGUUUAAAUGGUAAAUCCUUAUGUUUUAUAAGUAAAAUGUGAUUAAAUGAAAUGAGUUUUAUAAAUCAUUUUGAAAUUGAAUGAUGAUUUUAGAAAUUGAGUAAUUGGAGACUGUUUGAUUGUGUUGUAAAUUUAUGGUUUGAAUUAAAUGGCUUAUGGUGAUAUUGGCAUGAAUAGCUGAAUUGGAAAUUGUGUUGAAAUUGCAUGAAUUGUUUGUUUUGCCUUAACAGGCUGGGUAGUAAUAUAAUUGCCAUGUCAUGCUGUCGAAACUUUUAUUGAUUUGGUGGGAUAUUGAUUAGUCACUGUAGUGGUGGGUUUCUGUGGACCAGCCUAUUAGAGAGAGGCAUGGUAAACCCAAUUAUAUUUUACCUCGGUACGAGAGGCGUGGAGGGUAUCUCUUGAGG